rnacentral:rRNA from 1 species
AUUGAACGCUGGCGGCAGGCCUAACACAUGCAAGUCGAACGAGUGGCGGACGGGUGAGUAAUGUCUGGGAAACUGCCCGAUGGAGGGGGAUAACUACUGGAAACGGUAGCUAAUACCGCAAACCAUCGGAUGGGCCCAGAUGGGAUUAGCUAGUAGGUGGGGUAACGGCUCACCUAGGCGACGAUCCCUAGCUGGUCUGAGAGGAUGACCAGCCACACUGGAACUGAGACACGGUCCAGACUCCUAGGGGGGGCAGCAGUGGGGAAUAUUGCACAAUGGGGGAAAGCUUGAUGCAGCCAUGCCGGGUGUAUGAAGAGGGCCUUCGGGUUGUAAAGUACUUUAAGCGAGGAGGCGUUACUCGCAGAAGAGGCACAGGUUAACUCCGUGCCAGCAGCGCGGUAAUAC